rnacentral:rRNA from 1 species
AUUGAACGCUGGCGGCAUGCCUUACACAUGCAAGUCGAGCGGCAGCACGGGUGCUCGCACCUGGUGGCGAGUGGCGAACGGGUGAGUAAUACAUCGGAACGUACCUUAUCGUGGGGGAUAACGCAGCGAAAGCUGUGCUAAUACCGCAUACGCCCUGAGGGGGAAAGCGGGGGAGCGAAAGACCUCGCGCGAUUAGAGCGGCCGAUGCCUGAUUAGCUUGUUGGUGGGGUAAAAGCCCACCAAGGCGACGAGCAGUAGCUGGUCUGAGAGGACGAUCAGCCACACUGGGACUGAGACACGGCCCAGACUCCUACGGGAGGCAGCAGUGGGGAAUUUUGGACAAUGGGGGCAACCCUGAUCCAGCAAUGCCGCGUGAGUGAAGAAGGCCUUCGGGUUGUAAAGCUCUUUUGUCAGGGAAGAAACACCGGCUCUAACACAGUCCGGGAAUGACGGUACCUGAAGAAUAAGCACCGGCUAACUACGUGCCAGCCGCCGCCGUAA